rnacentral:rRNA from 1 species
GAUGAACGCUGGCGGCGUGCCUAAUACAUGCAAGUCGAGCGAACAGACGAGGAGCUUGCUCCUCUGACGUUAGCGGCGGACGGGUGAGUAACACGUGGAUAACCUACCUAUAAGACUGGGAUAACUUCGGGAAACCGGAGCUAAUACCGGAUAAUAUAUUGAACCGCAUGGUUCAAUAGUGAAAGACGGUUUUGCUGUCACUUAUAGAUGGAUCCGCGCCGCAUUAGCUAGUUGGUAAGGUAACGGCUUACCAAGGCAACGAUGCGUAGCCGACCUGAGAGGGCGAUCGGCCACACUGGAACUGAGACACGCUCCAGACUCCUACGGGAGGCAGCAGUAGGGAAUCUUCCGCAAUGGGCGAAAGCCUGACGGAGCAACGCCGCGAGAGUGAUGAAGGUCUUCGGAUCGUAAAACUCUGUUAUUAGGGAAGAACAAAUGUGUAAGUCACUAUGCACGUCUUGACGGUACCUAAUCAGAAAGCCACGGCUAACUACGU